rnacentral:misc_RNA from 1 species
AAAAGAACAAGUCAUAAGGAAACAAAAGAAGCAAGUAUUUGGUUCAAAUGGGAAAUCUCACACAUCCUCAAGUAGUUAGUAUCGAGAUAGCAAAAAGAGGAAUGAGCAGGAAACAUGGCAACCAUUAAUUCAGAGAGCAUGGACAUAGUGUAGGAUCCUACAGCAGAGAGGGAGCAAAAGAACAAAAGAGAGUAGAUAUGCAAACACAAUAUACAACUUCAUUGUUCAGAAUACAAAGCUUAACUCAUCAAACAAAAGCAAGUGGACAUCAUACAAUGCACAAAGGAAA